UACGUAGGGAGCAAGCGUUGUCCGGAUUUAUUGGGCGUAAAGAGCUCGUAGGUGGCUUGGCAAGUCAGGUGUGAAAACUCCAGGCUCAACCUGGAGACGCCAUUUGAUACUGCCAUGGCUUGAGUUCGGUAGGGGACCACGGAAUUCCUGGUGUAGCGGUGAAAUGCGCAGAUAUCAGGAGGAACACCGGUGGCGAAGGCGGUUCUCUGGGCAUAUCCUGACGCUGAGGAGCGAAAGUGUGGGGAGCGAACAGG
rnacentral:rRNA from 1 species